rnacentral:rRNA from 1 species
CGGUUCCCGGGUCUUGUACACACCGCCCGUCACACCACGAAAGUCGGCAACACCCGAAGCCGGUGGCCUAACCCGCAAGGGAGGGAGCCGUCGAAGGUGGGGCUGGCGAUUGGGGUG